rnacentral:lncRNA from 1 species
UAGAUGAUUGAUCUUGGUCUGUCCACAUGAAGACCUUAUCUUAUAUUUUAAGCUAUGCUUUUAUGUUAUUUAGUUUUCGAAAAACUCUAGUCUUUGUUGUGUUUCCAAGGGAGCCUUUGUCUUUAUUUCCCUUGUAUUUUCGAGACCUUGUGCAUGUACAAGGCUUCUCCUUUAUAUUCUGGUCGUGGCCCCUUGUAUCAGUAUCCAUCUUUUUAUCAAAAACCUUUGUUUUCUCUUUUCUUCUUGCUUGUCGAGUUGAUUGAGUGUUGGUGUGUAAUAUCCAACUUCUGGUGUGUAAUAUCCAGAGACUAAGGGCUCUAGUUUGGUGUGUCAUAUCCAAUCUAUUGCCUAGGAGUAUCAAGGAGCCUUUCCGCAGCCUCUUGUGUCACCAUUCGAUCCACAUACCUUGAGAAACUUGAGUCUUUUGAUUCGUUUCUGCAAGGAUUAUCCCAUCUGUUCCAGAGCAUCAUCCUAGGAUCUCAUCAAGUGGUAUCAGAGCAACUCUGGAAGGGAAGUGUUUGAUUUUUCUCUCUGAUUUUCGAUUUGAUCUCUUCAUAUUCUGUUGAGAUUUUGAUCGAUUUGUGUUUCUAUUGUUGAAAUCUGUUAGAUCUAAGUGUUUUUGAUCACGAAUCUGGUGAAGUCUCUUCAUAUACUCUUUGAUUUCGUGUUGAUCUGUGUUCCUUGUGAGGAAAUCUAUCGAAUUUGGGUUAAUUAGAUCUUGUUUUGGGUAUUAGACUGUUCGGAUCCUUGUUUAUCAAGUUAUCUGAUUGCUUGAUCUGAAUCUGUUUGUUGAUUGCAGUCGAUCUGUUCUUAUUGUUUUAGAUAUGUUCUUGCUUGAUCUAAAUCUCAUC